rnacentral:rRNA from 1 species
UACGUAGGGUGCGAGCGUUGUCCGGAAUUAUUGGGCGUAAAGAGCGUGUAGGUGUUCCUACAAGUCGGUCGUUAAAUCUCAGAGCUCAACUCUGAGGCCGCGAGCGAAACUGUAGGAAUUGAGGUUUACAGGGGCAAGCAGAAUUUCUGGAGUAGGGGUGAAAUCCGUUGAUACCAGAAGGAAUACCAAUGGCGAAGGCAGCUUGCUGGGUAACACCUGACACUGAGACGCGAAAGCGUGGGGAGCAAACGGG